GACGUAGGAGACAAACGUUAUCCGGAGUUACUGGGCGUAAAGGGCGUGUAGGUGGUUUCGUAAGUCUGGCGUGAAAUUUUUCGGCUUAACCGGGAAAGGUCGUCGGAUACUGCGGGACUAGAGGACGGUAGAGGCGUGUGGAAUUCCGGGUGUAGUGGUGAAAUGCGUAGAGAUCCGGAGGAACACCAGUGGCGAAGGCGACACGCUGGGCCGUACCUGACACUGAUGCGCGACAGCAUGGGGAGCAAACAGG
rnacentral:rRNA from 1 species